CGUAGGGUGCGAGCGUUGUCCGGAAUUACUGGGCGUAAAGAGCUCGUAGGCGGUUUGUCACGUCGUCUGUGAAAUCCCUCGGCUUAACCGGGGCGUGCAGGCGAUACGGGCAGACUUGAGUACUACAGGGGAGACUGGAAUUCCUGGUGUAGCGGUGAAAUGCGCAGAUAUCAGGAGGAACACCGGUGGCGAAGGCGGGUCUCUGGGUAGUAACUGACGCUGAGGAGCGAAAGCAUGGGUAGCGAACAGGAUU
rnacentral:rRNA from 1 species